rnacentral:lncRNA from 1 species
UAUUUCCUUAGAAAUGCAACCAUUUCCCAUCACAAACCCUAGCAAAUAAAUUCCGAGCCCUCAUCCACACAAGUACACCCUACAAGGCUACCUGACAGACUAUCCUCCUCAGGACUAGCCUCCCCAUGCCACUAUAAUCUAGUGGGCACUGGCUCCUCAUCCACACAGGUACACCCUACAAGGCUACCUGACAGGCUAUCCCCCUCAGGACUAGCCUCCCCAUGCCACUAUAAUCUAGUGGGCACUGGCUCCUCAUCCACAUAGGUACACCCUACAAGGCUACCUGACAGACUAUCCUCCUCAGGACUAGCCUCCCCAUGCCACUAUAAUCUAGUGGGCACUGGCUCC